AUGGUACCCGGCGAUGGAUGUUCUCUGAGAGAUCCGGAAGAUAUUGAAAAGGAUCUCAAACGUUGGAAAAUUAUCCCUGACCUCUUGGAUGAGGCUCCAAACGAGGCGGUUCAGGUGGAGUGGAUUGAGGGCCUUGAACCGCUCUUCGGAAACGAAAUUAAUUCGACUAUUACAAAAAGAGAGCCCUUUUGGGCGUGUUGGAAUUCAAAUGAAACGGAGUUCCACACGAUGAUAUUACAGGUAGGUAAUUAGAUUUUUUCGAGGUUUGCCGAUUCAGGUUCACCGGCGUUAUUUUUUUUCGAUUUUUGUUCUUUUUAGGGGUGGUUGGGUAAUGGAUGGACAGGCACAGAUACAACAUUCGGGAAUGAAAUUAUUGACCCGGAAAUUACAAAGGAGGAACCUUUCUGGUUAGAGUCUAAAAAUCGUAAUGAUACAUUUCUCAGUAUGAAAAUGGUGGGUUAGCAGAAUUUGCUCCAUGAAUACCUAUCUCCACCGAGAUAUCUGCAUUCAACCGCCACCAUAACCUAACCCAAAGCUCCUUAACUUCAAAAUCGAAAACUUCAAUUUUUCAGCGACUUAUCGGUCUGAAAGUAAGACCUUUUUCAUGGUGAAAAAGCUAAGAGUAUGGGCAUUACAUUUAAAAUUGUGCAGCUUGGAUAGGGUUUGAAAGAGGGAAAUUAAAAAACAUCUGUUCUGGAUGAUCUACGUAUUUCUUUGCAGCACGAUGGAAGUAUGUGCAACUGAAAAUUGGUUCUUAAUAUUAAAUUAGAGCAAGAACGAAAACAGUGUAUGAUUUUCAAAGGCUUUAGCUCUUUAAACGCCUGGGAUAAACUCAAUAUAAUUUUUAUUGAAGCUGCACCGAGAAAAUUACGGUAAAUUAUAUGAUUCUCACCUUCUCCUGUGUCAUAUUUUUUACACUCGUCACUUUCAAAGCCGAGCUAUUCCUUGUUGUGCAUGCAGUCACAUGCACCAAAUUUCUUUAAUACAUAGUCUUGCCGAGGAAAAAUUAAGGCAUUCGUUAAGUUUAACGUGAACAAGUAAAAUAGAUGGUUGUAUUGCAGGUAUCGAUCAAAAUUUUAAGGAACAAACAUUGGGCAGAGAAAAACAAUUUGGAUCGUCGGAAACAUAAGAGACUAUGAUUUUCUUGGGGGAGAGUUUUUGACCGAAUACAUGGGCCCAGAUCCACCGGAGGGCAAAG
rnacentral:lncRNA from 1 species